AGUGAUGACGAAAAUAUUAUACCAUCAAACUUCGAAAGCUUAUUUAUAAAACCUUGUUUAUGCAACUACAAUUAACACCCUCUGAUGCC